GUUGGAACCCUUCAAAAAUCAGAGAAAUUAAGAAACAUUACAAGUAGCCUAGGAUGCAACCAACCUCUAAAAGUUAGAACUCGAAUUGCAGAGCCAACUCAAAAAAGUUGGAACCCUCCACAAAUCAGAGAGAUACUCGCAGCUUAGGACGUAAACAACGCUAUAAAAUUUAAAACUACAAUUGUGGGCAAACUCUAAAAGAGUCUACCCUCCAAAAAUUGGCGUAUGCUGCUGUUUGUGACGAGCACACGGUAUUCUUU
rnacentral:misc_RNA from 1 species